UACGGGGGGGGCAAGCGUUGUUCGGAAUUACUGGGCGUAAAGGGCUCGUAGGCGGCCAACUAAGUCAUACGUGAAAUCCCUCGGCUUAACCGGGGAACUGCGUCUGAUACUGGAUGGCUUGAGUUCGGGAGAGGGAUGCGGAAUUCCAGGUGUAGCGGUGAAAUGCGUAGAUAUCUGGAGGAACACCGGUGGCGAAGGCGGCAUCCUGGACCGAUACUGACGCUGAGGAGCGAAAGCGUGGGGGAGCAAACAGG
rnacentral:rRNA from 1 species